GGUGAAUCCAUCGCUGGUUGAAUCAGAUGUGGAUAUGCAGGAUGGAUUGUAUUUUGAUUGUGGUGGUGGCUAUAAGACGUUGUCCUUACCAAAGCUCACAGAAUUACAUAUUACUAAAAAGGAUCAAUUUACUGUAUAUAAAUUGUAACUUAGGUUUUUAACUGGAGAAAGAAGAACAAACAAAAAGUCCAUGGGAUGAUGGUGAGUUGUUUCCUUGGUGGAUGUGACCUUGAAUAAUAUGUGAAAAUGCUCCAUGUUGGCUCAGCUUCUGUUGGAUUCCAACUUAGUACUCACUCAGUAAUGCCCUGGACAGGAACUUUGCACAGUGCUGACUCAUGUGUACAUGAGAAUUUCAUCCCUCCAUCCUUGGGCUUAACUGGAGACAUGUGGAUAAACAGAAGGGUGUGUGAUAUUUAGCCUAGACAAUUCUAACAUCCAAAACAAG
rnacentral:lncRNA from 1 species